ACACAUGCAAGUCGAACGAAGUUAUUUGAGCUUGCUUAGAUAACUUAGUGGCGGACGGGUGAGUAACACGUGAGCAAUCUGCCUUUCAGAGGGGGAUACCGAUUGGAAACGAUCGUUAAUACCGCAUAACAUAGUAAAUUCGCAUGUUUUUACUAUCAAAGAUUUAUCGCUGAAAGAUGAGCUCGCGUCUGAUUAGGUAGUUGGUGAGGUAACGGCCCACCAAGCCGACGAUCAGUAGCCGGACUGAGAGGUUGAACGGCCACAUUGGGACUGAGACACGGCCCAGACUCCUACGGGAGGCAGCAGUGGGGAAUAUUGCACAAUGGAGGAAACUCUGAUGCAGCGAUGCCGCGUGAGGGAAGAAGGUUUUCGGAUUGUAAACCUCUGUGUACAGGGACGAUAAUGACGGUACCUGUUCAGAAAGCUCCGGCUAACUACGUGCCAGCAGCCGCGGUAAUACGUAGGGAGCGAGCGUUGUCCGGAAUUACUGGGUGUAAAGGGAGUGUAGGCGGGACGGCAAGUCAGAUGUGAAAUUUAGGGGCUCAACCCCUGACCUGCAUUUGAAACUGCUGUUCUUGAGUGAAGUAGAGGUAAGCGGAAUUCCUAGUGUAGCGGUGAAAUGCGUAGAUACUAGGAGGAACAUCAGUGGCGAAGGCGGCUUACUGGGCUUUAACUGACGCUGAGGCUCGAAAGCGUGGG
rnacentral:rRNA from 1 species